rnacentral:rRNA from 1 species
GAUGAACGCUGGCGGCGUGCUUAACACAUGCAAGUCGAACGGUCCUAUCCUGGUUGAAGCUCCGGCUGAUUCCGGGGCAAGGACAGUGGCGGACUGGUGAGUAACACAUGAGUAACCUGCCCUUCGGCCUGGGAUAGCAGCUGGAAACGGCUGGUAAUACCGGGUACGUCCCCCGUGCCGCAUGACAUGGGGGGGAAAGAUGGCCUAUCCUUGGAAGCUAUCGCCGGAGGAGGGGCUCGUGGCCCAUUAGCUAGUUGGCGGGGUAUCGGCCCACCAAGGCUACGAUGGGUAGCUGGUCUGAGAGGGCGACCAGCCACAUUGGGACUGAGAUACGGCCCAGACUCCUACGGGAGGCAGCAGUGAGGAAUUUUCCGCAAUGGACGAAAGUCUGACGGAGCGACGCCGCGUGGCCGAUGAAGGGUUUCGGAUCGUAAAGGCCUGUCAGGGGGGAAGAAUCCCCCCCUUGUGAAUAAUGAAGCGGGCUGACCGUACCCCCCAAAGAAACACCGGGCAACUACGUGGCAGCAGCCACCGGAAUACCGAAGGUGCCAACCGUGUUCCGGAUUAUUGGGCGGUAAAGCCGUGGAAGGCGGUUUUUAGUUCGAAGUGGAAACCCCUGGGUUCACCCCGGGAAAGGCUUGGAAACUGGGGAAAUUGAAAUAGGAAAAGGGAAGGGAAUUCCUGGGGAGGAAGGAAACCCGAAAAAUCGGGAGGAACACCGUGGGGAAAGGGGGUUACUGUGACGAAUUUGACCCUUAAACCAAAACCGGGGGGAACAACAGGGUAAAAUACCUGGGAAGCCCCCGGGAAAAAAAAGGAACAAGGGGGCCGGGUUUUAACCCUGCGGGGGCGCAAUAAC